AAGAACCAGCCUCCCUAUCUUUUACAGGGAGCCUCAAAAUAACAUGCGCCCAGUAAGAGAGAAAGUCACAUAAACACCGUUCACACACAAACACUCAGAUUCACUUACGAGCCGGGGCAAGGAAGCACAUAGAGGCUUUUCUGAAAUGCCUUCUCUCUGCCGCACCAACGCAAGGACACGCCUAGAACCCCCGGGGCACCUACGUCGACAGAGGCCUGGAUACUGUGGCGACACACGUGUGCAAACAGACAUGGUCAGACCCAGGCACACGCCCCGCUGUGGACCCGUCCACUUCCCCGGGGGACCCAGGUUUUAGCCUGAACAACGCAAGCCACAGAGGAUGUGCAGCAUGGCCAGUCCGCUGGUGAGUGUGGACGAGAACGGUCUCAAACGGUCCCCUAGAACGACUCGUGGUUUGGAAACAGAAGAAGUUACAUGUCAGUCACGGUGGCAAGAAAGCAGAGCUGGGAGAAGGUUCACAACCAACACAGCGGUACUGGGAUGCAGUUAUGAACACGUUCAGCCCCCUGGCCUUGAGUCCACCUCUCAUCGGGGAAGAGGGAGGUCCUGAGAGGCAGUGACAAGACGGCGUGACCCCUCUUCCACAGAGGUGAGGCAGGUGCCUUGGGUGCACAGCUAAGAAGCCAGUGGCCCUUCCAGGAUGGAAGGUGAGAGAGGGAACAGGGAACCCUCCACCAGGUACGUCAAGGAGCCACCAGAAAAGGGAUGUGAAAUUCGUGAUUUUUUUUAAUGUUUAUUUAUUUUUGAGAGAGAGAGGCAGAAAGAGAGGGAGACGCAAAAGCCGAAGCAGGCUCCAGGCUCCGAGCUGCCGGCACAGGGCCUGAUGUGGGGCUUGAACCCACGAACCUCGGGCCCACCACCUUUCAGGGCAAUCAUGAGAAGUGACUGCAGAUGUCUGAGCUGGGGAAGAAGUCCUCCAAAACCUCCUCGAGCCAUAAAUAGAGUCUUUCUUUCUUCCUUUUCUUAACCCCCCUGUUUUUUGUCCUUUAAGGGUAUUGCUUUUCAUAUUUUUACCUCCAGCUGUCUCGAUGGUAUUUCAACCUUUUUUAUAUUUUCCUAAGUCUUGUAUUUAACGUGCCCUGGAAAUUGUCAUCGAAUAUAAAAAAUCAGAUCUCAAACUUCUGCGUUAGGAACGGAGGGACGCAGAGCAAGGUUUUUUGGGUUUUUUUUUUUGUUUUUUUCUCUUUUGAGUGCAUGGACUUUUGAUAUAUGGAAUGAAGACGAUUGUGUCUGAUUGCAUCUGUAAUGAACCCUCAUAAUUUUAGAUUAGGGUUAUGUGGACGUCCCAACUAAUGGG
rnacentral:lncRNA from 1 species